rnacentral:rRNA from 1 species
ACACAUGCAAGUCGAGCGGUAGCACAGGGGUAGCUUGCUCCCCGGGUGACGAGCGGCGGACGGGUGAGUAAUGUCUGGGAAACUGCCUGAUGGAGGGGGAUAACUACUGGAAACGGUAGCUAAUACCGCAUAACGUCGCAAGACCAAAGAGGGGGACCUUCGGGCCUCUUGCCAUCAGAUGUGCCCAGAUGGGAUUAGCUAGUAGGUGGGGUAAUGGCUCACCUAGGCGACGAUCCCUAGCUGGUCUGAGAGGAUGACCAGCCACACUGGAACUGAGACACGGUCCAGACUCCUACGGGAGGCAGCAGUGGGGAAUAUUGCACAAUGGGCGCAAGCCUGAUGCAGCCAUGCCGCGUGUGUGAAGAAGGCCUUCGGGUUGUAAAGCACUUUCAGCGAGGAGGAAGGUGGUGAGCUUAAUACGUUCAUCAAUUGACGUUACUCGCAGAAGAAGCACCGGCUAACUCCGUGCCAGCAGCCGCGGUAAUACGGAGGGUGCAAGCGUUAAUCGGAAUUACUGGGCGUAAAGCGCACGCAGGCGGUUUGUUAAGUCAGAUGUGAAAUCCCCGGGCUCAACCUGGGAACUGCAUUUGAAACUGGCAAGCUAGAGUCUCGUAGAGGGGGGUAGAAUUCCAGGGUGUAGCGGUGAAAUGCGUAGAGAUCUGGAGGAAUACCGGUGGCGAAGGCGGCCCCCUGGACGAAGACUGACGCUCAGGUGCGAAAGCGUGGGGAGCAACCAGGAUUAGAUACCCUGGUAGUCCACGCUGUAAACGAUGUCGAUUUGGAGGUUGUGCCC